rnacentral:lncRNA from 1 species
CACACUUUUAUUUGCUAAUCCAGUUUGUUCGUUAGAUGAUAAAUCUGAUCAAAAAUACUUGCAUAAAAAUUUCCUCCAUUCUAAAUAAUCACAGGUAUUUUUAAUAAAUAAAAUCAGGGUAGCACUUUCAUGAAUAUUUACAUCAUAAUAAUACAUGUAUACACAAUUACCGGUAUGCAUAAUCAGUAUUUUAAACAAUGCUGAUUGGUCAUUACAAGGUCAAACAAAAUUAACAACAAUGCUAUAAUGGUUAGGUACGAAGGUCAUUUUCUGUUCAUUCUCAAUUAACAAACAUGCUCCUGAGGUGUUCUUUUCCUGUUUUUCUGGGUUCUAAUUCUGAUAUUUAUCAAGAGAUCAAAUUCAUGCGAGAGAAUCCUUUUCUUAUUACUGUACAGUAGUUCAUAGUUUAGAAAUAAAAUCAAGGUGGUUAUUAAAUCAGAUCUUAGUAUUGUAUAGAUAUCAAGGUGGUUAUUAAAUCAGAUCUUAGUAUUGUAUAUAUAUCAAGACAUAACUGGGUCAAGAAAAUAGUUUAAUAUGUAAAAUUUGGAGAGCAAAAUUGAAGUAAUAAUAAAUACAAUUUAUAUAUCACAAUUAAAUUAAUUUACUUUAGAAUCAAUUAACUCUUUUAUUCCCCAAAACUGGAAUUAAUGGAUGAAGACACUUAUAAUUCAAUGAUGUAAAGAG